rnacentral:rRNA from 1 species
GACGAACGCUGGCGGCGUGCUUAACACAUGCAAGUCGAACGGAAAGGCCCUGCUUGCAGGGUACUCGAGUGGCGAACGGGUGAGUAACACGUGGGUGAUCUGCCCUGCACUUCGGGAUAAGCUUGGGAAACUGGGUCUAGUACCGGGUAGGACCGCACUUUAGUGUGUGUGGUGGAAAGUUUUUUCGGUGUAGGAUGAGCUCGCGGCCUAUCAGCUUGUUGGUGGGGUAAUGGCCUACCAAGGCGGCGACGGGUAGCCGGCCUGAGAGGGUGUACGGCCACAUUGGGACUGAGAUACGGCCCAGACUCCUACGGGAGGCAGCAGUGGGGAAUAUUGCACAAUGGGCGCAAGCCUGAUGCAGCGACGCCGCGUGGGGGAUGAAGGCCUUCGGGUUGUAAACUCCUUUCGCUAGGGACGAAGCUUUGUUGUGACGGUACCUAGAUAAGAAGCACCGGCUAACUACGUG